GAUGAACGCUGGCGGCGUGCCUAAUACAUGCAAGUCGAGCGAACAGACGAGGAGCUUGCUCCUCUUACGUUAGCGGCGGACGGGUGAGUAACACGUGGAUAACCUACCUAGAAGACUGGGAUAACUUCGGGAAACCGGAUCUAAUACCGGAUAAUAUAGUGAACUGCAUGGUUCAAUAGUGAAAGACGGUUUUGCUGUCACUUAUAGAUGUAUCCGCGCCGCAGUAGCUAGUUGGUAAGGUAACGGCUUACCAAGGCAACGAUGCGUAGCCGACCUGGGAAGGUGAACGGCCCACCUGGAACUGGAGAACGGUCCCGACCCCUAAGGGGGGAAGCAGUAGGGAAUCUUCGGAAAUGGGCGAAAGCCUGACGGAGCCAAGCCGGCUGAGUGAAAGAGGUCUUCCGAUCGUAAAACUCUGUUAUUAGGGAAGAACAAAUGUGUAAGUAACUAUGCACGUCUUGACGGUACCUAAUCAGAAAGCCACGGCUAACUUCGUG
rnacentral:rRNA from 1 species